GGGAAGUUCCUGGCUCAGAACGAACGCUGGCGGCAGGCCUAACCCCAGCAAGUCGAGCGCGCCCUUCGGGGUGAGCGGCGGACGGGUUAGUAACGCGUGGGAAUAUACCCGACACUAAGGAAUAGCCUCUGGAAACGGAGAGUAAUACCUUAUACGCCCUUCGGGGGAAAGAUUUAUCGGUGACGGAUUAGCCCGCGUUAGAUUAGGUAGUUGGUGGGGUAAUGGCCUACCAAGCCUACGAUCUAUAGCUGGUUUUAGAGGAUGAUCAGCAACACUGGGACUGAGACACGGCCCAUACUCCUACGGGAGGCAGCAGUGGGGAAUCUUGGACAAUGGGGGCAACCCUGAUCCAGCCAUGCCGCGUGAGUGAUGAAGGCCUUAGGGUCGUAAAGCUCUUUCGCCUGUGAUGAUAAUGACAGUAGCAGGUAAAGAAACCCCGGCUAACUCCGUGCCAGCAGCCGCGGUAAUACGGAGGGGGUUAGCGUUGUUCGGAAUUACUGGGCGUAAAGCGCGCGUAGGCGGACUAUUAAGUCGAGGGUGAAAUCCCGGGGCUCAACCCCGGAACUGCCUUUAAUACUGCUAGUCUUGAGUUCGAGAGAGGUGAGUGGAAUUCCGAGUGUAGAGGUGAAAUUCGUAGAUAUUCGGAGGAACACCAGUGGCGAAGGCAGCUCACUGGCUCGAUACUGACGCUGAGGCGCGAAAGUGUGGGGAGCAAACAGGAUUAGAUACCCUGGUAGUCCACACCGUAAACGAUGAAUGCCAGUCGUCAGGUAGCAUGCUAUUCGGUGACACACCUAACGGAUUAAGCAUUCCGCCUGGGGAGUACGGUCGCAAGAUUAAAACUCAGAGGAAUUGACGGGGGCCCGCACAAGCGGUGGAGCAUGUGGUUUAAUUCGAAGCACGCGCAGAACCUUACCAACCCUUGACAUCCUGUGCUCAUCCAGAGAUGGAUGGUUCCCUUCGGGGACCAUUGACAGGUGCUGCAUGGCUGUCGUCGCUCGAGUCGAGAGAUGUCCGUUAAAUCCGCAACAAGCGCAACCAGAUCCUUAUUACCAGGGUUCGGCCGGGAAUCUAGGGAACUGCCCGGAAAACCGGGGGAAAGUUGGAUAAAGCAAGUCUCAAGGCCUU
rnacentral:rRNA from 1 species